CUGGGUGGUAACUGUGGGCAGGUGGUGUGUGGCUAGAGGAGGUAGGUCACUGGGGAUGGUCCUAGAAUUGUGCAUCUUUCCUGAGGCUCCUUCCUCUCUUUGCUUCUAGGCUGCCAUGAAUGGAGCAGGGCUCCUCCCUCAUACCCUUCUACCAUGAUGCUCUGCCUCACCUCAGACCUAGAGCAAUGAAGCCGGUUGACAACCGAAAGAACCUCUGAAACCCUGAGCCAAAAUAAACUUUCCAUCCUGUAAAUUGUACUUGCCAGGUAUUUUGGUCACAGUGAUGAAAACCUAAGUCAUGUAGUAUGCAAUACAAUAUACCAAACACUGGAAUUUGAAGGCCACAUUAUUUCAGGGCCAGGGAAUGGAUGACUUGGAUUGCCCCUGCUGAGAGCUGUUAGGUGUGUGACAUCCUGAGCCAGUGUUAAGGAGCUUGUGUGCUUGCUAAAUUUCUUCCCCAAUAUAUUCUGUGCUGAAUUACUUUGCCCAAUGCUAUGGCAAGGUUCAGUGUAGGACACU
rnacentral:lncRNA from 1 species